ACCGCCCAGAAGAGCACGAGAGAAGAGCGGAUCCAAUACCAAGUGACUUCUUUCCCAGAAUGAUAAAAGAUGGUGUUUUCUAUCUCUUUUUUUUUUUUUUAUGAAUUGAGUCUGUUUUUUAUGUUAUUUUGUACUGUACAACUACUUUUUGUGGGAUCGUUUUCUCAUGAGAGGUAAUUAAAAGAAAUUAUAAAAUGGAUUGCUACCUAUGCCUAGAUCUCGGAUAACUGGAAAUUUUAUUGAUAAGACUUUUUCAGUUGUAGCCAAUAUCUUAUUACGAAUAAUUCCGACAACUUCGGGAGAAAAAGAGGCAUUUACUUAUUACAGAGAUGGUGUGAUUUGAUUUUUUUAUUUACCGCUGUCAAGUCUUAGGAGAAAGACACAUUAGUCGGGAUAGAAAGAUUUGAAAUAACUCUACGCUUGUUGAAGGUGAAGUUUAUAAAUAAAACAAUUCCUUCUGUCGGGUAUCCCCGAUUAAUGCAGCCUCAAAUGCUUCAAUUGUCAAUUCUAGCAUUGAACGAAAGGUUACACCUAUGCCUAUGGCUAUGGGUUCUGUAUUGCAGGUUAACCCUACCCCACUAGUACCAAUAGGCGGCAUAGAGGAAGAAGCACUACGCCUAGGAAUCAACAACGCAAAAACUUUGUUAGAAAUUAUCCCUUUCUUUAUUGGGAUCGGGACUAAGAGGAAUGGUUGGGACAACAAACAUCCAUCUCGUUCGUACUUUGGAUACCCGUAUAACCAUCGAAGACUGUUGAAGUGACUAAUUCCUAGAAAUUAAGGAAGAUUGAGGACAAAGAAAUUGUUGGAGUUAACUUAAUAUUUUUAUCUAGUAUCAACAUGCUUGAUGUUAAGAAAAGAUCUUUUGCAGGAAGGUUGGCUAGAGAUUUCUUGUAAAAACACUAGCCCCGCUCAGUUCAUAAUGAGAAUAUUUCACUCCCCUUUUUAUUCUAUGUUAUGUAUUAUUCUCAUUAUGAACAUAAGGGAGGAGCCGUAUGAGAUGAAAAUCUCACGUACGGUUCUGGAACGGAGAUUCUUUGAAUCGAAUGACGACCGUAACGAAUGUCUGCUCAAUCCGAAGGAAAUUAUGCAGAAGCUUUACAGAAUUAUUAUGAAGCUAUGCGGCUAGAAAUUGAUCCCUAUGAUCGAAGUUAUAUACUCUAUAAUAUAGGCCUUAUUCACACAAGUAAUGGAGAACACACAAAAGCUUUGGAAUAUUAUUUUCGGUCACUAGAACGAAACCCCUUCUUACCACAAGCUUUAAAUAAUAUGGCCGUGAUCUGUCAUUACGUGCGACUAUCUCCACUAUAGAAAGAAAAAAGAAAAAAAAAAAAA
rnacentral:misc_RNA from 1 species